UCACUGUCUUGUAAGCUGUACGGCCGUAAAUGUUUAGACACUUCCAAGAUGGCGGACGCUGAAAGUCAACACAGGUCUAUAAUGGCGAAAAGUCGAGCUUAAUAUAAAAAAGAAUAUAAAUAGAGAAAAAAGAAGAAUGAUUAAUCAUACCUGGAAAAGGAGCAUUUACGAGCUGAAGGAAACCGAGAGUCCAUUCACAAGCACAAAUUCGUUUGAGAAUGAUACAACAAGAAUGCAAAUGAUGCCUAGAUCACAACAUGAUCUGAAUCUGCUUGGAGUAAAAAAUCAUUCUAGAAAAGUAAUAAAAAAACUGGAGAUGUCAAAUGCAAUUAUUGCUGAAGGGAGAGAGGCAGCACAAAAAGCAACAUCUCAGUCAAUGAAAAGAGUAUGAUGAGAGUAGUCUGUGGAAGAAUAGUAAAAAAGUGUAAGUGUUAGACACAAUCAAAAAGCAAACAGGUCUUGGUAGAAAAGGGCUGAAAAGUUCCAACACGAAAAUACUGAGACCUAUUUGUCGAAAACGACUCGACGAAGAGAGAACAUGAUAAAAACAGAAAUCAUUUAGUUCCUUGAAAGGGAACAUCAUGUCAGUAUUCAGAUGCCUGGGAAAAAGAUACCAAAGCCCAUGAACCAAGGUGAUAAGAGACAAGUGCAUGUCCUCAAUCAUUAUCUAGAGAAUAUAUAUCAAAAGUAUAAAGCAGAAAACCCAAACAUAAAGAUUUCUAAAUAAAGUCCAAGACAGUAAAGCCGACAUUGAAAACGUAGUGACAGAUGAAAGUUCCUGUUGUUGGAUCAUUUGUUUUGGCUAAAUAUGAGGGCAAACAGUAUGUGGGUAAAGUCCUAUAGGUCGACUCCAAUGAAAAGGAUGCGCAUGUUUCGUUCAUGGAAAAGACCCGUGUCAAAUGGUCGAUACCACUGUUCACAUGGCCUUCAAGAACUGAUGAAUUGUGGGUAGACUUUAAAAACAUCAUAUCUUAAAUCUAGGAACCUUCCCCCCUAUGGCAAGACCAAAAGGCACUACAGAUUGAACAAUAAUGACUCUGCUUUCUUUGCUAACUAUGUUCAGACUGAUGUUCAGUUUACGACAAUUUAACUUUAGAGUUUUUGUGUUAACGUAUCUGAUGACAUUUUUUCUUUGACUCCACUAGCAAUAGCAGAAGUACUAGUAUAAGUUAUAUUCACAUAAUUAUGUAAAUUUACAUUGAAUGUGUUUGAGAAAAUGCAGUAUUCUUUAUAUACCACUUUUCCUACGGAAUUUGCAUUUAAACUUUAACCGUAAUAAAUGAUUAAUUUUUAACUGUUUUUUUUUUAUUUAUUUUACUGAUGUAUGGACAUUAUACAGAAACGAUGCAGUAGAAAAAAAUGUGAGGUAUAAAAAUCGGUCAAACAAUAUGCAUAUGUUAUGAUAAUGUUUGUUGUAAUAGUUCUUUUUCACAUUUCCAUUCAUUAGAUGUGUUCAUUCAUUCAUUGUUGCCUUUCAUCAGAUAUACCUCUGGUUUACGCAUAAAAUUAUUAUCAUAUAUAUAUAUAAACAUAAAAUAUAGUAUAAAUCAAGUAAGGUAGUAAGCAAAAGAUUUUUUUAAUAUAGUUACCUUUGUAAUAUGAUAGUUAUUGUAAGAUUUGUGUUAAACAAUAGCGGUGUAAUUUUGAAAGAGAUAUGAAAGUGGUCAGUUAACACGAAAUGUUUCAUUUGAUUACACUAUGCAAAACGUAGAACAAAAACGAAACAUUGUUAAUUUUGAUUUACAUACAUAAAUGUUUCUAAAUUUCCAUAACAAAGUUUUACAUGAUACAAAAGUGUAAUUUUGUCAAACUUAAUUUCACUGAUUAACGUAUCUGAUGAGAAAAGUCAACACCUUUAAAAAAUAUGAUUUUUUUGGUGUAUUAAGUUGGUUGGGAAUCACCCAUUAUCAGUUUUAUGAAACUUGUAUGUUGUAAUUUCAAUGAACAUUGAGAUAGGUUUAUUUUCAAAAAUGAAGUUGGAACUUUAAGUGAAUUUGAACGCGUAGUUAAUUUACAUAUAUUUUUAUAUGGCAUUUUUAGCAUAGCCGAAAUUAACUUGUAUCUACACCGUUCAGUUUUUCGCUUAAUUCUAUGUAUAAACCGUUCACAAAAAACGUGUCUACACCGCUCAGCGUGAAUAUGUUGGUAUAGUCUACGCCGCUGUAUUGGCAAUUUAAAAAUCAUAAAAAAAUUUAUAUUUCCAGUUAUGUUUCGUAAAAUCAAGCAUUACUAUCGUAAAGAACCGGCAAAAAGCUUCAAAAUACCACAGAAAUAUCUAAACAGUUAUGAUAACUGAAUAAGAUACGGCCGAAAAUAAUGUGCGUUCCUCGAUUCGAUUUUAAUUUCAUCAAAUUGGCACAUUUCGCGUCAAUAUAAUUCGAGAAACAAUGAAAUCAACAAACUUUUAGAUAAUGCCGAGGAGGAACAUGUUAUUCCGCUAUCAUUUGCUAUAAGUAUGGCCGUUAAAAGUGUUGAAGAAAACAUGUUAUCAAUGAAAAACUGGAACACCUACCUGUGUUGAUUUUCAGCGUCCGCCAUCUUGGAAGUGUCUAAACAUUUACGGCCGUACAGCUUACAAGACAGUGA